AUUGAACGCUGGCGGCAGGCCUCACACAUGCAAGUCGAACGAGUGGCGGACGGGUGCGUAAUGUCUGGGAAACUGCCUGAUGGAGGGGGAUAACUACUGGCAACGGUAGCUAAUACCGCAUACCAUCGGAUGUGCCUCGAUGGGCUUAGCUAGUAGGGGGGGAAACGGCUCACCUAGGCGACGAUCCCUAGCUGGUCUGAGAGGAUGACCAGCCACACUGGAACUGAGACACGGUCCAGACGCCUACGUGAGGCAGCAGUGGGGAAUAUUGCACAAUGGGCGCAAGCCUGAUGCAGCCAUGCCGCGGGUAUGAAGAAGGCCUUAGGGUUGUAAAGUACUUUCAGCGGGGAGGCGUUACCCGCAGAAGAAGCACCGGCUAACUCCGUGCCAGCAGCCGCGGUAAUUC
rnacentral:rRNA from 1 species